rnacentral:rRNA from 1 species
UAGGGAAUAUUGGACAAUGGGCGAAAGCCUAAUCCAGCAAUACCGCGUGAAUGAUGAAGGUCUUAGGAUUGUAAAGUUCUUUCGGUGGGGAAGAUAAUGACGGUACCCACAGAAGAAGCACCGGCUAACUUCGUGCCAGCAGCCGCGGUAAUACGAAGGGUGCUAGCGUUAUUCGGAAUCACUGGGCGUAAAGAGUGUAAAGGCUGUUAGAUAAGUUAGUUAUGAAAUCCCUGAGCUCAACUCAGGAACUAUGAUUAAAACUAUCUGGCUAGAGUAUAGUAGGCGAUGGCGGAAUUCUUAGUGUAGGGGUGAAAUCCGUAGAUAUUAAGAGGAACACCGGUGGUGAAGACGGCUAUCUUGACUAUAACUGACGCUACAACACGAAGGCAUGGGUAGCAAACA